GCUAAAGUUUCAACAAAAUGCUGGAGAACUCUGAUUUCAUUCAGCCAAUAAAGGCACGUUUUUAAGGACCAGCUGCCACAUCAGAGAAGGUCAAGUUACCGAGUGACCAGAAUGAAAAGAUCUUCUCCUUGAGUUUCCUGAGAACAGCUCCAACAAUAUGUCACUCCUUUUGAACAGGAUGUCAAUGUGAA